rnacentral:rRNA from 1 species
UUCGAUCAUAUCACAUUGAAAAACCAGUUCCCGUACGAUCACCGAAGUUAAGCAACGUCGAGCCUGGUCAGUACUUAGAUGGGUAACUGCUUGA